rnacentral:tRNA from 1 species
GCCCCGGUGGUGUAAGGGCUAACAUACAGGCCUGUCGAGCCUGUGAUCCGGGUUCGAGUCCCGGCCGGGGCG